rnacentral:rRNA from 1 species
CAGGUCAAAUUUGAAAUCUGGCCCUCGCGGGGCCCGAGUUGUAAUUUGUAGAGGGUGUUUCGGGCGCGAUGCCGGUCUAAGUUCCUUGGAWCAGGACGUCGUAGAGGGUGAGAGUCCCGUAUGCGACCGGCGAUCAAGCCCGUGCGWAGCCCCUUCGACGAGUCGAGUUGUUUGGGAAUGCAGCUCCAAAUGGGUGGUAAAUUUCAUCUAAAGCUAAAUACCGGCCAGAGACCGAUAGCGGACAAGUAGAGUGAUCGAAAGAUGAAAAGCACUUUGGAAAGAGAGUCAAACAGUACGUGAAAUUGUUGAAAGGGAAGCGCUUGCGAUCAGACCGGCCCGGAGGCGAUCAGCCGUUGCUCGUCAGCGGUGCACUCGCCUCCGAUCCGGCCAGCAUCGGUUCGGGCGGCGGGACAAAAGUCCCGGGAAUGUAGCUUCUCUCGGGGAGUCUUAUAGCCCGGGGCGCCAUGCCGCCCGCCCGGACCGAGGACCGCGCUUCAGCUAGGAUGCUGGCGUAAUGGCCGCAAGCG